UCCUAAAACUAGCAGUCAGAUCUUGGACGAGCUUCAGAAAUCUGUCUCAUGAUUUGAGGAAAUGAAGUCCACCACUUCGGAUAUCCUAAAUUUGACACGUCUGUAAAUGUGGCCGUGAAUGUUGACGUAGCGUGGCAUGUGUGUUUUCAGCUGUCCUCCACACCCCCCGUCCGCAGAGCUGCUUCCUGUGUGGAGGGCGAGGGGGGCUGCCAGUGUUUAUGCCCUGCUGAGGCUGCGGUGUAUUUGUUUGCUCCAGGAUCCCGCAGAGCAUUUGCUCACUCCUUGAACAAUAAACAUUGGUGAUUGCUGACGAAGGCCCUGGUCCCAGCUUCUCCGAACUCCGGAGAUUUAGAGGUGCCCAGCGGUCUACCGAUGUAUCCCUGCCCAUGGCACAGAGACAAAGGCCUUUAUUAACCCCCCAGAGCCACGUGGAGAAUGUUUAAUGAUGGAUGGACACACUUUUUUGGGCUUCAAAAUCUUGACAACUAUCCACUGCCAUUAUAAAGCUUAGAAGAGCUCUGACUGUAUUCAUCCGAAAGAAGAAAGUCAUAUACACAGAGGAUGGCUUCAGGAUCUCCGCCAGAUCUCCAGCGGUUGAACUCUUGUGUGAAGUGCACAGCACAGUGACGGAUGGCACUCGCCACAGAAUGAGGCAAGGUUAAAAAUACGGAAAUGUGGACGGUUCCUCGGCAAGCAGCCCGUCCACCAGCUGCUCUCUCAGCCCAUCAAUGUCUCCAAACCUCAGCCCCAGACCCUGCCACGAACUCCAGCUUCAACCCAGAGACACUCCCCGACCAGCCAGUGUUAUUCACAACAACGUUUCCAUCCAUCUCACCAUCAAAAAUGACUGAAAGCAGAAAAACCGAGGGGAACAUUACAGCAGUCUGUCCUUACAGCACAAGAAACUCAUACGACUAGAAGACAAAGAACAAGUGUUCAAGAAGUACAUAAAUCAUAUCUCCAGGAACUCAAAAUCCUGACGUGUUUUGGUCUAUUCGUGUUUCAAUGAUUAUUAGAUAAAUUGUUAAAUUGAGUAAAAAUACAGUUUAUAGGGAUCAGGGUCAUGAAACUGUUUAUUAGAAACAGCUAUUUUGUUCACAUAUUUGGGGACUAAUUCUCACUUUUGCCUCAGUAAACUCCUAAUUUGCUGCGUAUUCAUAGAUAUUAAGGUAGUCGUUAAAUUUGGGUAUGGAAUGGAUUAAGGGAUCUUAAAUAUUAUUAUGCCGCAUAAUCCAUUAGUAUGUGCUUUAUAAAUACUAAUAAAAAGCCAAUAUGCAUGUUGAUAAACAACUGGUGAGAUAGUUUUUUUAAAUUAAUAUUUAUAAGUUUUAAUUUAAAAAUGUAAAAAUAUGUCACUUUCAUUCAUUUUGAUUAAAAUGUUAGGUUUAGUAAAAGUGAAGUCAAACUGAA